rnacentral:rRNA from 1 species
GUGGGGAAUAUUGGACAAUGGGCGAAAGCCUGAUCCAGCCAUGCCGCGUGUGUGAAGAAGGUCUUCGGAUUGUAAAGCACUUUAAGUUGGGAGGAAGGGCAGUAAGUUAAUACCUUGCUGUUUUGACGUUACCGACAGAAUAAGCACCGGCUAACUUCGUGCCAGCAGCCGCGGUAAUACGAAGGGUGCAAGCGUUAAUCGGAAUUACUGGGCGUAAAGCGCGCGUAGGUGGGUUUGUAAGUUGGAGGUGAAAUCCCCGGGCUCAACCUGGGAACGUCCUCCAAAACUGCAUGACUAGAGUACGGUAGAGGGUAGUGGAAUUUCCUGUGUAGCGGUGAAAUGCGUAGAUAUAGGAAGGAACACCAGUGGCGAAGGCGACUACCUGGACUGAUACUGACACUGAGGUGCGAAAGCGUGGGGAGCAAACAGGAUUAGAAACCCGUGUAGUCC